rnacentral:rRNA from 1 species
AACGAACGCUGGCGGCAUGCCUAACACAUGCAAGUCGAACGAAGCCUUCGGGCUUAGUGGCGCACGGGUGCGUAACGCGUGGGAAUCUGCCCUUGGGUUCGGAAUAACAGUUAGAAAUGACUGCUAAUACCGAAUGAUGUCUUCGGACCAAAGAUUUAUCGCCUAAGGAUGAGCCCGCGUCGGAUUAGCUAGUUGGUGAGGUAAAGGCUCACCAAGGCGACGAUCCGUAGCUGGUCUGAGAGGAUGAUCAGCCACACUGGGACUGAGACACGGCCCAGACUCCUACGGGAGGCAGCAGUGGGGAAUAUUGGACAAUGGGCGAAAGCCUGAUCCAGCAAUGCCGCGUGAGUGAUGAAGGCCUUAGGGUUGUAAAGCUCUUUUACCCGGGAUGAUAAUGACAGUACCUGGAGAAUAAGCUCCGGCUAACUCCGUGCCAGCAGCCGCGGUAAU